GAGGGAGGCUUGCCGCAUCAAAGACUGCUACACUUUUGUCUUCCCGGUUGAACUCCGGGACUCCCUUG
rnacentral:tRNA from 1 species